GCCUCGUUGGCGCAGUAGGCAGCGCGUCAGUCUCAUAAUCUGAAGGUCGUGAGUUCGAGCCUCACACGGGCAUUUGUA